AAGCAUAUGAUGUUACUAAGAUGUCACCCAUCGUUGAAGUAUCUUAAACCGAUCUUUUUAAAACUGAUGCUUG
rnacentral:snoRNA from 2 species